UACGUAGGGUGCAAGCGUUGUCCGGAAUUAUUGGGCGUAAAGAGCUCGUAGGCGGUUCGUCGCGUCGGCUGUGAAAUCCCGAGGCUCAACCUCGGGUCUGCAGUCGAUACGGGCGGACUGGAGUUCGGCAGGGGAGACUGGAAUUCCUGGUGUAGCGGUGAAAUGCGUAGAUAUCAGGAGGAACACCGAUGGCGAAGGCAGGUCUCUGGGCAGUAACUGACGCUGAGGAGCGAAAGCGUGGGGAGCGAACAGG
rnacentral:rRNA from 1 species